CCCCCCCCCCCCCCCCCCCGGUGUCGGGCGGGUCCUGCGGGAGGUGCUGGAGAGAGCGGGGGCGGCGCUGGGAGCAAUCGGAGGGCUCCGGGAGCUUCUGAGGCAGCCGGGACAGGUUCGGGCUUCGGGAACAGGGGAGGAGGAGGAGGGAGGAAGAGGCAGAGCAGCAGCAGGAAGCAGUAGGAGAAGAGGAGAGAAGCAAUCGCGUGGCCCUGGCACUUCCUGAAGUUGAUGCAGCCCUGGGAGCAUCGCCCCCCAUCCCGCAGGAUUUCCCAUUCCCAGCCCAAGGGAGGCUGCAAGGAAAAGGAAGAUGCCCCAGGACAUGCAGGCAGAGCAGGAGCUGAGGAUGGAGAGCAGGGAGGACAAAUCUCCACGGCAGAACCUCUUGGAAGAGGCCGUUUUGAGUGGCUCCACGGCGCAGGAACCCAACGAGGAGGAAAAGCCCAGGAGAUGCCACAUGAGGAGGGGCUGCAAACGCAGAUUGAGGGGAUCUGAGGGGGAAAGACCCAGCCUGGGCUGGGAAGGCAGCCAGAGAUGGAGCCAGAGCUCGGAGCUGGUGGUCCAUGGGCAGCUCCAUGAUGGGGAGAAGCCCCACAAGUGCUUGGACUGUGGGAAGAGCUUCCAGAUAAGCUCCGAGCUGAUCCAACACUAGAGGACCCACACUGGGGAACGGCCCUACGAGUGUUAUCAGUGCAGGAAGAGGUUUCAGACCAGCUCUGAUCUCCUCGUGCACCAGUGCAUGCACACAGAGGUGAGGCCCUUCUUCUGCCAUGACUGUGGGCAGGGCUUCAGGCAGAACUCCCAUCUUGUCAGGCACCGGCUCAUCCACACUGGGGAGAGACCCCACGAGUGUGGGGAAUGUGGGAAGAGCUUCAGCUGGAGCUCCACCCUGAUCCAGCACCAGAGGACCCACACUGGGGAACAGCCCUAUGGGUGUGUGGAAUGUGGGAAGAGCUUCAGACAUGGCGCCAACCUGAUUGUCCUCCAAAAGAAUCAUGCUAGGGAGAGGCCCUAUGAGUGUCUCCAGUGUGGGAAGAGCUUCUCACAGAGCUCUCACUUGACCAAACACUAAUGGAGCCACCGGUAAGGGAAGCCCUGCGAAUGCCCCGAGUGCGGGAAGAGCUUUGUGCACUGCUCCAGCUCCAUCCCCCACUGCAGGACCCACCUUGGGCAGAGCCUUGGUGACCCACAUUCCCUGUAAUCCAUGUUGGGAACACACCUGGCUGCUUCUCGUUUUGGUUUGGCCUUAAUUUUUUUCUGAUUCAUCUUCAUCCCUUAAAAACAGCCAUAACUGGGUUAAAUGAAUUAAAUUGAUUAAAGAUGUCUAAAGUCCCACCAUUUCUGAGGUGUUUGAGGGGGAAUUUCAGAUUUGGGGACACAUUCUGUGUGGAGUGCCCCUGUUGCUAGGAGGCAGGAAUUUGAUCUUACCCUUCUUGUGUUGCUAAGAACUCCUCCCUUGACCCAAACCCUAACUCCACCCCUGGGAUACCCUAUAAAAAGCCCCUGGCCCUGCCUUUGCCCUGUCUUUUGGGGGUAAGAAAUGGAUUCUGGAGCUUUCUGAAACCAAGACCCGUCUCAUUUGUUCCUGGCACCGGCAGCUGCAGCCUCCCUGGACAUCAGGAACUCUGGAGAAUGGGGGCAGCCAGUGAGGACGUGUCCUGGAUUGCAAGUUAAGUGUGUGUUCUGUUUGCCAUCUGUCAGAGGUGGGGCAGUUAUCUUCUGUUCAUUGGGCAGUUUAUCUCUUCCACAACCAAUCCUCCCUCCAGGAGAUGUCUUCUGUCAAUAAUUAUUAAUUGUUAAUUAUCUUCUGUUAAUGGGCCAUUGAGUGUCACUGCAUGGCUGAUAAAAUGACAUCAUGCCACUGGGAGAUGCUCCGCCCGGGGGAAGGAGCCAAGCAUUUCUUCCUGGAUAGAAUCUGAGGUUUGGAACAUUGCAGCAGCCUUUUCCCACUGGAUUCCCAGAGGAUCAGCCCUUUUCCCACUGAAUUCCCAGAGGAUCUGCCUUUUCCCACUGGAUUCCCAGAGGAGCAGCCUUUUCCCACUGGAUUCCCAGAGGAAGACCAGGGCCAUCUAUACCACCACUGGACCUUCAGAGGAAAACUCCACCCUUCUCCAGGAUCCCUGCUCAAACAGAACCACACCUGUCACUGCAGGAGGGCUGCAGCCACCAUUUAAUGGGACUGCUGCCAACACCCUGACCCACAGGAUGUCAGGUUGUAUUGUGCCUCUGUCAGUGUUUUGAGUUUUGUUUUUUUUUUGUCCUAUUGCAUUUGUAUUUUUAAUUUUUCCUAAAAAAGAACUCCUAUUCCCAUAACUUUGCCUGAGAGCCCCUUAAUUCAGAAUUAUAACAAUUCAGAAGGAGGGGGUUUACAUUUUCCAUUUCAGGGGAGGCGUCUGCCUUCCUUAGCAGACACCUGGCUUUUCAAACCAAGACAGGACAGAACGACCAGCACCCCAUAAGUCACCCCCUGAUGGCCACACCUUGUGGGACCCCCAUCUUAAACAGGAAGAUGCAAGGACAUCAUGACACGAGGUCAGGUUUGAAACAUAAACUUUAAGGAAUUUAGAAAUUUUAGAGGAGCUAAGAUUUUAGUUAGAGAUAAGCUUUAUUUGAGUUAAUCAAGAUGAAUAGGUAGGCCUUGAUGAAGUUAAGAGUUAUUAGCUAACUAAUAAUGGAUUGCUUGUCAACACAAUGUUUGGUUAGCUGGGUUUAUAAUGAAGAAUAUAGAAACUGAUAAAUAGCUUUUAGGGACAGUUGUGGGCCUCCUCUGUUCUGAAACCAAUUGAAGACAGAGAAUGGGAGUUCUACCAAGGGUUCAUUUGUCAUACUUGCAUUGAAAAGGUAGAAAGGUCAGAAUGAGGAAGACUUCAUUUACGUCCUCAUUUUGGGACCCGUCCCCAUGAAAGGGACCCCGACCCAUUUCAAAGAACAAACAACGCAUGAUUAUUAGCUUUUGAACUAAUUAGCAUAUGAAGCGGGGAAUGAGAUGUAACAAAAUUAUGAAAAUGUAUUUGUAUUUUGGGUAUUCAAUAGUUGUAUGGAUAAAAGGACUCUGUAAUCACCUGUAAAUCAUGGUGUGUAUUUGGGAGCUAUCCCACACGCCACCCGGCAUCGCAAUAAACAUACACUUUCUAACUUUAAA